rnacentral:rRNA from 1 species
GCAUAAACCAGUUACAGCAGAUGAUGGAUGCCUUGGCGUCAUCAGGCGAUGAAGGGCGCAGCAAGCUGCGAUAAGCUUCGGGGAGCGGCAUACACGCUUUGAUCCGGAGAUGCCCGAAUGGGGAAACCCGGCACCGGUAAUUCGGUGUCACUUCGAGAUGAAUACAUAGUCUCGAUAGAGCAACACGCGGAGAAGUGAAACAUCUCAGUAUCCGCAGGAAAAUAAAGAGAAUCGAUUCCGUCAGUAGUGGCGAGCGAACGCGGAACAGCCCAAACCACCGGGAUUCAUCCUAGUGGGGUUGUAGGACCACGAUAUGGAAAGCUUAGAUUAGGAAAACCGUCUGGAAAGUCGGGCCAAAGAGGGUGAUAGCCCCGUAUUCGAAAAUCGAAGCAGACCUAGUGGUAUCCUGAGUAGCACGGGACACGUGAAACCCCGUGUGAAUCCAUGCCGACCACGGCAUAAGGCUAAAUACUCGAUGACGACCGACAGUGAACUAGUACCGCGAGGGAAAGGUGAAAAGCACCCCUGUUAGGGGAGUGAAAUAGUAACUGAAAUCAUCUGCUAACAAGUCAGUCGGAGCCCCCUUGUGGGGUGACGGCCUGCCUUUUGUAUAAUGAGUCUGCGAGUUAUUGUCGGUAGCAAGCCUAAGCCGCUCAGCGGCGCAGGCGCAGCGAAAGCGAGUCCGAAUAGGGCGCUUAGUUGUCGGCAAUAGACCCGAAGGGGAGGUGAUCUAACCAUGGCCAGGAUGAAACUUCGGUAACACGAAGUGGAGGUCCGAACCGGUCAA